GAAAGGAUCGGUUAAUUUGGUUAGACCGCAAAAUUGUAAAUUUUGUUUCUUUAUGAAAUUAUAAGUUCGAGUCUUAUUCCUUUCA
rnacentral:tRNA from 3 species